rnacentral:piRNA from 1 species
UAAUUGAGUUUUCUGUUCUUGCAUGGGCCUU